AUGAAACUCUUGUCAUGGAACUGCCGGGGUCUCGGGAAUGAACCGGCAGUUCGAGCUUUGCUGGACGUCCAUCGAAGUACCCAUCCCGAUGUGAUGUUCUUGUCGGAGACUCGCCUCGAUAGCUAUCCGGCUGAAUGUCUGAGACGUCGUUUGAAGAUGGAUCAAAAACUGGUUUGCACUAGUAAUGGGAGAAGUGGUGGCUUAUUGUUACUAUGGAAAAAUAAUAUUGUAGUUCAUAGAUUGGGGUUAGACCCCAAGUUUAUUGAUGUACAGAUCACAAGCGAUGGAGGUGAACCAUGGCGAUUGACUGGCAUGUAUGGAGAAUUCCGAUGGGAAAAUAAGUACUUGACUUGGGACCGUAUGCGCCAGCUAUCUCAAACAAGUACACUACCAUGGUUACUUAUUGGUGAUCUGAAUGAGAUUCAAUUUCUGCAUGAGAAAGAGGGGGGAAUCCACAUCCCCAACAGUAUAUGGUGGCUUUCCAACAAGCGAUUGAUGAUUGUAACCUGCAUGAUAUGGGCUUCAUUGGAGAUAUAUUUACAUGGCGCAGAGGAAGGAUUCGAGGAAGGUUGGACAGAGGUCUCGUGA
rnacentral:rRNA from 1 species